rnacentral:rRNA from 1 species
UACGGGGGUGGCAAGCGUUGUUCGGAAUUACUGGGCGUAAAGGGCGCGUAGGCGGCUUUACAAGUCAGAUGUGAAAGCCCCGGGCUUAACUCGGGAAUUGCAUCUGAAACUGUUUAGCUUGAGUCCUGGAGGGGGUAGUGGAAUUCCCAGUGUAGCGGUGAAAUGCGUAGAUAUUGGGAGGAACACCUGUGGCGAAGGCGGCUACCUGGACAGUGACUGACGCUGAUGCGCGAAAGCUAGGGGAGCAAACGGG